rnacentral:lncRNA from 1 species
UGGCCCCUGGGCCAAGAGUAUCAUCGGGCCCAGUAAGUGUCCCAUGAGAGUCAGGGUUCUUCAGUAGAACUGUUGUGACACAGAAGUUCUAACUGAAAGAAGAGAGAGAAAGAUCACUGAGGAGGCCAUGGUGGUCUUGUGGCGAGAGUGAUUCCUCAGCUACCUUGGGUGUCCAUUACUGCCCACAUGAGUCUCUUCUUUCUGCUGCUUACUACAAAGGCAACUACUUCUACUCUUGGAAAAGCCUGCAAGAAACUGAGAAGCUUCAGUUGGGAUUCCCUUUCCUGCUUCAAGAAAGAAGGUUUGAUCAAAUACUGAGAAGCAGGCUUCUUUCUCUCUGAAGAUUUUACACAUCGCAUAAGGAUA